GGUUGUAUAGUGUAGUUGGUUAUCACAUCGGAUUCUGAUGUCUUGCAUCUGAAUUUCCGGGGACCUGAGUUCGAGUCUCGGUACGACCU